rnacentral:misc_RNA from 1 species
AAGUCGUAACAAGGUUUCCGUAGGUGAACCUGCGGAAGGAUCAUUACAAAACAAAAUCCAAACCACACCAAAUGUGCUCUAUAAAUGCUGAGAAGCUGUCUUUGUGUGUGAAUGUUACUGUCUGUGUGAGGAGGAAAAUUUAUUUUUUCCUCCUCGCACUCUCACACACACACACACACAAUCCUUCUUUUCAGCAUUGUCUUUGUUUAUCAAUUUUUUCAUUAACUCCUUGUUUAACCAACAACGGAUUACAAUGUUAAAACUUGAAACAAAAAAACAAAACAAAAUGACAACUUUUAACGGUGGAUCUCUUGGCUCGU